GUUCACCCCGAUGUCAGGGGUGUUUAUUAUUAUUAUUUCUUCAGAGUCAUUCCCUGAAAAAUUGAGGGACCCAACUUCUGUGUGUUACACUAAAAUGGACAAACACUACAACUGAAAACUAAAUUACAACUAAAGAAAAAUUCUGCAAUAAAUUCUACAUACCAGUUUAGUAUAAUAAGUAAAACGUCUCAAUUUGAUCUUAAUAACUUGUGAACCAUCUGUCACCAUUUGUUGAUCUCUGC